CCUACGGGGGGCAGCAGUGAGGAAUAUUGGUCAAUGGACGAGAGUCUGAACCAGCCAAGUAGCGUGAAGGAUGACUGCCCUAAGGGUUGUACACUUCUUUUAUAAAGGAAUAAAACGAGGCACGCGUGCCUUUUUGCAUGUACUUUAUGAAUAAGGAUCGGCUAACUCCGUGCCAGCAGCCGCGGUAAUACGGAGGAUCCGAGCGUUAUCCGGAUUUAUUGGGUUUAAAGGGAGCGUAGAUGGGUUUUUAAUUCCGUUGUGAAAGUUUUGGGUUCAACCGUAAAAUUGCAAUUGAUACUGGCAGUCUUGAGUACAGUGGAGGUAGGCGGAAUUCGUGGUGUAGCGGUGAAAAGCGUAGAUAUCACGAAGAACCCCGAUUGCGAAGGCAGCUUACUAAACUGUGACUGACAUUGAUGCUCGAAAGUGUGGGUAUCAAACAGGAUUAGAUACCCCAGUAGUA
rnacentral:rRNA from 1 species